AGCACCAGUAACACGUCUCUGGUCAAACAUGCCACCAUAUAAGGGUGAAGCAAAAUGAUUAGGAAAAGGUUAAAAUUAUACUGAAAUAUUUCUCAUUUCAAAUGGUAGACAUGAUAACUUGCAUAAAAGAAUUUCUGGCCCUCAUGCCGGUGGCACGUAAAAAGCAUCCACUACACUCUCGGAGUGGUUGGUGUCAGG